UAUGGCCAUUUCAUGUUGAAACACUGGUUACUGUACGAUUACCAAAGUUAAGCAACACUGAGCCAGGUCAGUACCUAGAUGGGUGACUCCUUUGGAAUACCAGGUGUUGUAA